rnacentral:lncRNA from 1 species
GUGCUGAGGCUUGCGGGUGGCUCUUUCACCCUUGGGAGGUGCCGUGGAGUGUGUGACCCACCCCCCAAUGCACAGCCUAGAACCCUAAUCUGAGUGUGACCGCGUUUAUAACUCAAGCAUGCAGAAGGUGAUCAGGUCAUGAGGGUGAAGCCUCAAUCAACAAUAUUAGUGAUGAUGUCAGAAGAAUUAGUGAUGCCAGAAUGGAUGCCCUUUCCCAAACCAGACUUUGCCUGCACCCUGACCCCAAGCCUGUAGCUUGCAGAACUUCGGGGAAUGAAGGGUUGUUGUUUUAGCUACCCAGUGGACAGUGACUCAGAUGGGAGGGGAACAAUGGAGGAAGAUGGAGACAGGGAGAAGAAAGGUGGUUUUAUGUUUGUUUGCUGGGUUGGGAAGUGAACCCACAGCCUCCCACAUCCAAAACAAAUGUUCUUUCACUGAGCUAAAUCCCCAGCGGGAUGUGUGUUGGUGAGAAGAGGCUCCAUCUCUGCAGGUCGAAGGAAGUCUUCCGUUAUUAUGGACCAAGACAUAGUUACAGGAAGAGGCGGGGGGCGGGAUGGUGUGGAGAGGAAACAGAAAGGUUUGGGGCAAGUUGGAAAGGUAUGUCCAACUUGGGGGUAUGCAUAGGACAGUGCGGGAGGCUGAUGACGAAGAUCCCCGUGGGGCUAGGGCCUAAUUGUGAAACUCACACUGCCCCCAAACUUGUAAUCCUCCUGCCUCAGCUUCCUGGGUGCUGGGGAUAAAACCCAGUAAGGCUAGCACUCCAGCCACAUUCCCAGCAUCCUAUAUGUGGUCUGGAUCUUUCGCUUAACUAAAUUGUAGCUAGGUCAAGUUUAAAAUAGCUUUCAGGUUCCAAGACACCAUUUAGAACCUUUUAGAAAUGAAAAUUCACAGUGCUGGAGAGGCGACUCGGUGGUUAGGAACACACGGUGCUCUGGCAGCAAACCUGAGGUUAGAGCGUGUCUCGGCUUCAGAGGCUGAGAGUAAGCUUCAACUGAAGAAGAAAGGCCCCAGCAACCCAGCAGAGUCGCGGCCGGCCGGCAGGCCGGGGAAGCCCCUAUUGAGGAUGCUCGGGCUGCAGAGGCGGUUCACAGGAGAUCGCAAUCAUUGGCGCAAGCCCUGGAAACUCAUCAACAGUGAGAACAGGAACCUGAGCUGAAGGAUUUGUGACAACGUGGGCAGAACAGGACAGAGAGAAUCUGGGUGGACAUAUUUCAUAAGAAACUAUUAAGCAAGAGGUGUCUGACUAGGCUGGCAACCCAGCCCCAGAAACAGAACAGACCUGGCGACCGACUGUCCUAGGAGGCAAGCUGUAGGCAGGGAGUCAGCUGGAUCCAAAUCGGGAACAGAGCGGGGGGGGCGGCGAGCAGAGACCGGAAGACCCCCACGGUCCACGGGACACUUUGUCGUCAAGUCUUAGAGUUAACUGAUCUAGUUCAUUACAUUUACUUCUGACUGGAGGCAAGGAACAGCUUUGCUGAUGGUUGCAAGAGGGCAAGAAGAAAAUAAUUGACCAAUAAUUCACCUAUGUGAGCCAAGCAGGCACUCGUGGCAUCCUUCCACUGCGAGGAACAACACAAGCUGAAAGUUUUCACUGAUGCCCCCAGGAAACACACGGGAACCCCUGGCUUGCGCUAUUGAAAUCCUGAUUAAUGCUUUUGUGAGUGAAAAGACUGGGAAAACAGCUAUCACGGGAGGCAGAGAUGCUUGCAGGGAAUAGGAACAGGUAGGGACUUUGGAGCUGGGGCUACCAGGUACAGAUGAAGAACCACCAUGGUGGAUUCGAACCUUCCCGUGUUCGCGCCAGCUCUUCCCGGGUCUUUCCUGAGGUUUCUUUUCCUGUUAAUUCACACCUAGUUCAGAGCAAACAGUUAAGGGUUGAGGCAGAGGCAUGCUCACUCUUUAUAGGCUUGGGGGAGCAACCUGCUCUGUGCAUGAAUCAUUCGUUCAGGGCAGAUAUUUUCAAACCUCUGCUGAGCAUCGGAACCUGAAAUAGAAAAACACCUGCAGUAGCUGCUGCUUCUCCACAUGCCUUACACACCACAGAACGCCAUAGGCCCUCUGCACCUGAGUUUCAAUUAGUGGGCUGAAUAGAUGACCUUUG